GACGAACGCUGGCGGCGUGCCUAACACAUGCAAGUCGAACGGAGUCGGCCCCGCAAGGGACUGACUUAGUGGCGAACGGGUGAGUAACGCGUGAGCAACCUGCCUUUCAGUGGGGGACAACAGUUGGAAACGACUGCUAAUACCGCAUGAAGCAUAAUGAUCGCAUGGUCGAUAUGCCAAAGAUUUAUUGCUGAAAGAUGGGCUCGCGUCUGAUUAGAUAGUUGGUGAGGUAACGGCCCACCAAGUCGACGAUCAGUAGCCGGACUGAGAGGUUGAACGGCCACAUUGGGACUGAGAUACGGCCCAGACUCCUACGGGAGGCAGCAGUGGGGAAUAUUGGGCAAUGGGGGAAACCCUGACCCAGCAACGCCGCGUGAAGGAAGAAGGCUUUCGGGUUGGUAAACUUACUUUACCUAGGGACGAAGAAAGUAGACGGUACCUGGAG
rnacentral:rRNA from 1 species